CUGCGAGUUCGCGGGAGAGUAAGUUAUUGCCAGGGUUUUUCUUUUAUACUUUAAACAUUGAUUUUAUUUUUUAUGUUUUUAGAAGUUUAUAUUAUUUGAAUAAAACAUUCAAAUAAUAUAAAAAAUAAAAUAUAUAUAUUGACAUGGAUUAAACAAAGAUAUAUAUUAUUCUAUGUUGUAUAAACAAAUUGGCAAAAUAGAGAUGGAAGAUAAAAAUAUGGUCAAAGUAAUAAGAGUCUAUGGUGAAUGCCUAGGA
rnacentral:misc_RNA from 1 species